AUUAACUCGUAACAAGUUGGAGAUAAAAAAAUAAAGAAAAAGUUUCUGAAAAUGCAACGCUGUUAAUGAAAACGUCAUUAGCACAUUUCGUCGAACCCGCGAGAACUGCGAGACGAAUGUUUAAAAAUGUGCCAGUUCCGUCUGUUUUCAAAUGAUUUUAUGAUUUGAAAUGAUAUGCUUUUUCUUCAAUUGCAUUCAAGUUGAAUGCAGGAUGGGUUUUUCCCUCGAAAUCGGCGUGUGUGCUGGUCAAAUAGACAACAGUUCUGCUGUUGAGAGGAAAAAAGUUUGGGCUCAGUAUGACCUUGGGCCAGUGCCAGCAUCAAUAAUAACCAGCUUUUCUCGGCAGAUGCUGCAAUACUUCCCUGAAUAUUAAUGAAGCCUCAACCAAGCCAAGAAGCCCUAUUCUCCCUGGCCCUGUAGAGACAUUUUUCGAUUCCUUUUUGGAAAACGUCAAUUCAACUAGAAAAGCAAGUGGCCUGCACACCCCAGCACACAAGACUAUUCGUGAUACGGUCGGGAAACCUCGGAAGAUGAAAUGGAUCGCAGGAAUAAACACAAACAAAUGGAAAUGAGUUGUAAGAAAGAAGCUUCGCUGUGUACAGCAAUGUCGCUGCAGAGGCUCCGAGAGUGAUUUGACUAGGGAAUUCCUUCGUAGUACCAUUCGGC